UUUAUCAAAAACAUCGCCUCUUGCAAAAUCGACGAAUAAGAGGUCCCGCCUGCCCAGUGACUAUAUGUUUAACGGCCGCGGUAUUUUGACCGUGCAAAGGUAGCGCAAUCACUUGUCUUUUAAAUGGAGACCUGUAUGAAUGGCACCACGAGGGCUUAACUGUCUCCUUUCUUAGGCCAAUGAAAUUGAUCUCUCCGUGCAGAAGCGGGGAUAAACUCAUAAGACGAGAAGACCCUAUGGAGCUUUAGACACCAAGGCAGCCUACGUCAAGUACCCUCUAACAAGAGAACAAACUAAGUAAGCCCUGCCCUAAUGUCUUCGGUUGGGGCGACCCUGGGGAAAUAAAUAACCCCCAUGAGGACUGAAAGCAUGCUUUCAGAACCAAGAGCUACCGCUCUAAGGACCAGAACUUCUGACCAUCAGAUCCGGCAAAGCCGAUCAACGGACCGAGUUACCCUAGGGAUAACAGCGCAAUCCCCUUUUAGAGUCCAUAUCGACAAGGGGGUUUACGACCUCGAUGUUGGAUCAGGACAUCCUAAUGGUGCAGCCGCUAUUAAGGGUUCGUUUGUUCAACGAUUAAAGUCCUACGUGAUCUGAGU
rnacentral:rRNA from 1 species